CGAGCGCGAAGGGCUCGCGGCGCUCGCGCUGAUGCCGCUUGCGGGGCUCGUCGCGGUCGAGCCGCUGGGGUUCCAGUUCCUGCCGCUCGU
rnacentral:tRNA from 1 species